GGGACACGUGGUAUCCUGUCUGAAUAUGGGGGGACCAUCCUCCAAGGCUAAAUACUCCUGACUGACCGAUAGUGAACCAGUACCGUGAGGGAAAGGCGAAAAGAACCCCGGCGAGGGGAGUGAAAAAGAACCUGAAACCGUGUACGUACAAGCAGUGGGAGCACGCUUAGGCGUGUGACUGCGUACCUUUUGUAUAAUGGGUCAGCGACUUAUAUUCUGUAGCAAGGUUAACCGAAUAGGGGAGCCGAAGGGAAACCGAGUCUUAACUGGGCGUUAAGUUGCAGGGUAUAGACCCGAAACCCGGUGAUCUAGCCAUGGGCAGGUUGAAGGUUGGGUAACACUAACUGGAGGACCGAACCGACUAAUGUUGAAAAAUUAGCGGAUGACUUGUGGCUGGGGGUGAAAGGCCAAUCAAACCGGGAGAUAGCUGGUUCUCCCCGAAAGCUAUUUAGGUAGCGCCUCGUGAAUUCAUCUCCGGGGGUAGAGCACUGUUUCGGCAAGGGGGUCAUCCCGACUUACCAACCCGAUGCAAACUGCGAAUACCGGAGAAUGUUAUCACGGGAGACACACGGCGGGUGCUAACGUCCGUCGUGAAGAGGGAAACAACCCAGACCGCCAGCUAAGGUCCCAAAGUCAUGGUUAAGUGGGAAACGAUGUGGGAAGGCCCAGACAGCCAGGAUGUUGGCUUAGAAGCAGCCAUCAUUUAAAGAAAGCGUAAUAGCUCACUGGUCGAGUCGGCCUGCGCGGAAGAUGUAACGGGGCUAAACCAUGCACCGAAGCUGCGGCAGCGACGCUUAUGCGUUGUUGGGUAGGGGAGCGUUCUGUAAGCCUGCGAAGGUGUGCUGUGAGGCAUGCUGGAGGUAUCAGAAGUGCGAAUGCUGACAUAAGUAACGAUAAAGCGGGUGAAAAGCCCGCUCGCCGGAAGACCAAGGGUUCCUGUCCAACGUUAAUCGGGGCAGGGUGAGUCGACCCCUAAGGCGAGGCCGAAAGGCGUAGUCGAUGGGAAACAGGUUAAUAUUCCUGUACUUGGUGUUACUGCGAAGGGGGGACGGAGAAGGCUAUGUUGGCCGGGCGACGGUUGUCCCGGUUUAAGCGUGUAGGCUGGUUUUCCAGGCAAAUCCGGAAAAUCAAGGCUGAGGCGUGAUGACGAGGCACUACGGUGCUGAAGCAACAAAUGCCCUGCUUCCAGGAAAAGCCUCUAAGCAUCAGGUAACAUCAAAUCGUACCCCAAACCGACACAGGUGGUCAGGUAGAGAAUACCAAGGCGCUUGAGAGAACUCGGGUGAAGGAACUAGGCAAAAUGGUGCCGUAACUUCGGGAGAAGGCACGCUGAUAUGUAGGUGAAGUCCCUCGCGGAUGGAGCUGAAAUCAGUCGAAGAUACCAGCUGGCUGCAACUGUUUAUUAAAAACACAGCACUGUGCAAACACGAAAGUGGACGUAUACGGUGUGACGCCUGCCCGGUGCCGGAAGGUUAAUUGAUGGGGUUAGCGC
rnacentral:rRNA from 1 species